CCUACGGGGUGCAGCAGUGAGGAAUAUUGGUCAAUGGUCGGGAGACUGAACCAGCCAAGCCGCGUGAGGGAGGAAGGUACAGAGUAUCGUAAACCUCUUUUGUCAGGGAACAAAGACUGGGACGCGUCCCCGGAUGAGUGUACCUGAAGAAAAAGCAUCGGCUAACUCCGUGCCAGCAGCCGCGGUAAUACGGAGGAUGCGAGCGUUAUCCGGAUUUAUUGGGUUAAAAGGGUGCGCAGGCGGCCUGUUAAGCCAGAGGGCAAAGCCCGGGGCUCAACCCCGGCCCGCCGUUGAAACUGGCAGUCUCGAGUUGGAGAGAAGUAUGCGGAAUGCGCGGUGUAGCGGUGAAAUGCAUAGAUAUCGCGCAGAACUCCGAUUGCGAAGGCAGCAUGCCGGCUCCACACUGACGCUGAGGCACGAAAGCGUGGGUAUCGAACAGGAUUAGAUACCCGUGUAGUC
rnacentral:rRNA from 1 species